UGGGGAUAUUGCACAAUCGGGGGAAACCCUGAUGCAGCGACGCCGCGUGAGUGAAGAAGUAUUUCGGUAUGUAAAGCUCUAUCAGCAGGGAAGAAGAUGACAGUACCUGAGUAAGAACGCCCCGGCUAACUACGUGCC
rnacentral:rRNA from 1 species